rnacentral:tRNA from 1 species
CUUUUCCCUUAGUGGUAGAGUAAUGCCACGGAAAGACCGAAGUCAUUGGUUCGAAUCCGAUAGAG